rnacentral:rRNA from 1 species
UACAGAGGUCCCAAGCGUUGUUCGGAUUCACUGGGCGCAAAGGGUGCGUAGGCGGUCGGGUAAGUCUGAUGUGAAAUCUCACAGCUUAACUGUGAAACUGCAUUGGAUACUAUCCGGCUUGAGGAAUGGAGGGGAGACUGGAAUACUUGGUGUAGCAGUGAAAUGCGUAGAUAUCAAGUGGAACACCAGUGGCGAAGGCGAGUCUCUGGACAUUUCCUGACGCUGAGGCACGAAAGCCAGGGGAGCAAACGGG